UGCAGCUGCUGCUGCAACUCCCCUAGAUCCCGGAAGGUGGCUACCCACUAGCACCACUGCAUGUUUUUCUUGAAGGUCUGGGGCCAGGAAGUGAUGCAGUUGGACUCCUGAGUCGUGCAGAUCUGGAGAUGCUAUAAUAACCGAACCUGGGUUAGCCUAACUGACUCCAUCUUAGCUGCAAACCUGACAAGCUCUCUCAAGCCUCUCCCUCCCUGCCACUGCCCCUCAGGUGCAUUACUGGGUCAUGCUGCACUCAAAGCUUUGCACCGUUAAGAGUGGUUCACACUGUUCACAGCAUCUAUAACCAUUGCGUCCUGCUUGGCCAGUCUAUCUGCUAUUGUGAAUACCCUCCUUGGUGAUCGAUUGUAUGGAAAGUUCUCCCUGCUACCCCCCUUAGUGAUUGUAUGGAAAUACCCUUAGCAACAAACAACCCUGGGAACCACCUGCCCCCUGGUUACCAGCCUCCUCCUACUAACUUGCCAGUUCUGCUUCUGUUAAAUUCCUCUUCAGCUAGGCUGCCCCCUCUCCUACCUAAAUCAAGGUAUAAAGGGAAAUCAAGCCCCUUUCUCGGGCCAAGAGAUUUUGAGUGUUAGCUGACUCUUGGUGGCCCUCUGAAUAAAGGACUCAUAAUUUGAA